rnacentral:rRNA from 1 species
GAUGAACGCUAGCUUCAGGCUUAACACAUGCGAGUCGAGGGGUAGCAGGGCAGCAAUACCGCUGACGACCGGCGCACGGGUGAGUAACACGUAUCCAACCUUCACAUAACUCGGGGAUAGCCUUUCGAAAGAAAGAUUAAUACCCGAUAGUACUUUAUUAAGGCAUCUUAAGAAAGUUAAAGAUUUAUUGGUUAUGGAUGGGGAUGCGUGCCAUUAGAUAGUUGGGGAGGUAACGGCUCACCAAGUCUUCGAUGGAUAGGUGUUCUGAGAGGAAGGUCCGCCAAAUCGGUACUGAGACCCGGACCAAACGCCCACGCGAGGCAGCAGUGAGGAAUAUUGGUGAAUGGGCGAGAGCCUGAACCAGCGAAGAAGCGUGAAGGAUGAAGGUCCUAUGGAUUGUAAACUUCGUUUAUAGUAUAAUAAAGUGAACCACGUGUGGUUUUUUGUAUGUAUACUAUGAAUAAGGAUCGGCUAACUCCGUGCCAGCAGCCGCAGUAACAC